rnacentral:tRNA from 1 species
GCAGUGGUGGUGCAAAGGUAGCAUACUGGGCCCAUAACCCGGAGACAAGGUUCGAAUCCUUCGGCUGCA